AGAGUUUGAUCCUGGCUCAGGACGAACGCUGGCGGCGUGCCUAAUACAUGCAAGUCGAGCGGACAGAUGGGAGCUUGCUCCCUGAUGUUAGCGGCGGACGGGUGAGUAACACGUGGGUAACCUGCCUGUAAGACUGGGAUAACUCCGGGAAACCGGGGCUAAUACCGGAUGGUUGUUUGAACCGCAUGGUUCAAACAUAAAAGGUGGCUUCGGCUACCACUUACAGAUGGACCCGCGGCGCAUUAGCUAGUUGGUGAGGUAACGGCUCACCAAGGCGACGAUGCGUAGCCGACCUGAGAGGGUGAUCGGCCACACUGGGACUGAGACACGGCCCAGACUCCUACGGGAGGCAGCAGUAGGGAAUCUUCCGCAAUGGACGAAAGUCUGACGGAGCAACGCCGCGUGAGUGAUGAAGGUUUUCGGAUCGUAAAGCUCUGUUGUUAGGGAAGAACAAGUACCGUUCGAAUAGGGCGGUACCUUGACGGUACCUAACCAGAAAGCCACGGUUAACUACGUGCCAGCAGCCGCGGUAAUACGUAGGUGGCAAGCGUUGUCCGGAAUUAUUGGGCGUAAAGGGCUCGCAGGCGGUUUCUUAAGUCUGAUGUGAAAGCCCCCGGCUCAACCGGGGAGGGUCAUUGGAAACUGGGGAACUUGAGUGCAGAAGAGGAGAGUGGGAUUCCACGUGUAGCGGUGAAAUGCGUAGAGAUGUGGAGGAACACCAGUGGCGAAGGCGACUCUCUGGUCUGUAACUGACGCUGAGGAGCGAAAGCGUGGGGAGCGAACAGGAUUAGAUACCCUGGUAGUCCACGCCGUAAACGAUGAGUGCUAAGUGUUAGGGGGUUUCCGCCCCUUAGUGCUGCAGCUAACGCAUUAAGCACUCCGCCUGGGGAGUACGGUCGCAAGACUGAAACUCAAAGGAAUUGACGGGGGCCCGCACAAGCGGUGGAGCAUGUGGUUUAAUUCGAAACAACGCGAAGAACCUUACCAGGUCUUGACAUUCUCUGACAAUCCUAGAGAUAGGACGUCCCCUUCGGGGGCAGAGUGACAGGUGGUGCAUGGUUGUCGUCAGCUCGUGUCGUGAGAUGUUGGGUUAAGUCCCGCAACGAGCGCAACCCUUGAUCUUAGUUGCCAGCAUUCAGUUGGGCACUCUAAGGUGACUGCCGGUGACAAACCGGAGGAAGGUGGGGAUGACGUCAAAUCAUCAUGCCCCUUAUGACCUGGGCUACACACGUGCUACAAUGGACAGAACAAAGGGCAGCGAAACCGCGAGGUUAAGCCAAUCCCACAAAUCUGUUCUCAGUUCGGAUCGCAGUCUGCAACUCGACUGCGUGAAGCUGGAAUCGCUAGUAAUCGCGGAUCAGCAUGCCGCGGUGAAUACGUUCCCGGGCCUUGUACACACCGCCCGUCACACCACGAGAGUUUGUAACACCCGAAGUCGGUGAGGUAACCUUUUAGGAGCCAGCCGCCGAAGGUGGGACAGAUGAUUGGGGUGAAGUCGGAACAAGGUA
rnacentral:rRNA from 1 species